rnacentral:rRNA from 1 species
GAGUUUGAUCCUGGCUCAGGAUGAACGCUGGCGGCGUGCUUAACACAUGCAAGUCGAACGAUCCUUCGGGAUAGUGGCGGACGGGUGAGUAACGCGUGGGAAUCUGCCCUCAGGAGGGGGAUAACGGCUGGAAACGGCCGCUAAUACCCCAUAUGCCGAGAGGUGAAAUGAAUUUCGCCUGAGGAUGAGCCCGCGUCUGAUUAGCUAGUUGGUGGGGUAAAGGCCUACCAAGGCGAUGAUCAGUAGCUGGUCUGAGAGGAUGAUCAGCCACACUGGGACUGAGACACGGCCCAGACUCCUACGGGAGGCAGCAGUGGGGAAUUUUCCGCAAUGGGCGAAAGCCUGACGGAGCAACGCCGCGUGAGGGAUGAAGGCCUCUGGGCUGUAAACCUCUUUUCUCAAGGAAGAAGAACUGACGGUACUUGAGGAAUAAGCCACGGCUAAUUCCGUGCCAGCAGCCGCGGUAAUACGGGAGUGGCAAGCGUUAUCCGGAAUUAUUGGGCGUAAAGCGUCCGCAGGCGGCCUUGUAAGUCUGUUGUUAAAGCGUGGAGCUCAACUCCAUUUAAGCAAUGGAAACUACAAGGCUGGAGUGUGGUAGGGGCAGAGGGAAUUCCCGGUGUAGCGGUGAAAUGCGUAGAUAUCGGGAAGAACACCAGUGGCGAAGGCGCUCUGCUGGGCCAUAACUGACGCUCAUGGACGAAAGCCAGGGGAGCGAAAGGGAUUAGAUACCCCUGUAGUCCUGGCCGUAAACGAUGAACACUAGGUGUCGGGGGAAUCGACCCCCUCGGUGUCGUAGCCAACGCGUUAAGUGUUCCGCCUGGGGAGUACGCACGCAAGUGUGAAACUCAAAGGAAUUGACGGGGGCCCGCACAAGCGGUGGAGUAUGUGGUUUAAUUCGAUGCAACGCGAAGAACCUUACCAGGGUUUGACAUCCUGCGAAUCCCUUGGAAACGAGGGAGUGCCUUCGGGAGCGCAGUGACAGGUGGUGCAUGGCUGUCGUCAGCUCGUGUCGUGAGAUGUUGGGUUAAGUCCCGCAACGAGCGCAACCCACGUCUUUAGUUGCCAGCAUUCAGUUGGGCACUCUAGAGAGACCGCCGGUGAUAAACCGGAGGAAGGUGUGGAUGACGUCAAGUCAUCAUGCCCCUUACAUCCUGGGCUACACACGUACUACAAUGCUACGGACAAAGGGCAGCAAGCUCGCGAGAGUUAGCAAAUCCCAUAAACCGUGGCUCAGUUCAGAUCGUAGGCUGCAACUCGCCUACGUGAAGGAGGAAUCGCUAGUAAUCGCAGGUCAGCAUACUGCGGUGAAUACGUUCCCGGGCCUUGUACACACCGCCCGUCACACCAUGGAAGUUGGCCAUGCCCGAAGUCGUUACUCCAACCCUUGUGGAGGAGGACGCCGAAGGUGGGGCUGAUGACUGGGGUGAAGUCGUAACAAGGUA